UGAAUCUAGAACACCUUAUUUGGAAAGCUGGUCUCUGAUAGAAAGAAGCAAAGUUGAAGCCCUGCAAGCUGAAGCUGUCCACCCUGAUGAUAUCACUAGAGGCAUUCAAACUGCAAACC